rfam:Oryza rufipogon genomic scaffold, chr04
AAAGAUUUAAUUCUUGGGUUUCCGUGUUCAACGUUUGAUCGUCUGUCUUAUAUGAAAUUUUUUUAUGAUUAGUAUUUUCAUUAUUGUUAGAUGAUAAAACAUGAAUAAUACUUUAUGCAUGACUUAUCUUUUUAAAUUUUUUUAAAGUUUUUUUAAAUAAGACGAACGGUCAAAGGUUAGACAUGAAAACCCAU